GAUCAGCCACACUGGAACUGAGACACGGUCCAGACUCCUACGGGAGGCAGCAGUGGGGAAUAUUGCACAAUGGGCGCAAGCCUGAUGCAGCCAUGCCGCGUGUGUGAAGAAGGCCUUCGGGUUGUAAAGCACUUUCAGUUGUGAGGAAGGUGGUAGUGUUAAUAGCACUAUCAUUUGACGUUAGCAACAGAAGAAGCACCGGCUAACUCCGUGCCAGCAGCCGCGGUAAUACGGAGGGUGCGAGCGUUAAUCGGAAUUACUGGGCGUAAAGCGCAUGCAGGUGGUUUGUUAAGUCAGAUGUGAAAGCCCGGGGCUCAACCUCGGAACUGCAUUUGAAACUGGCAGACUAGAGUACUGUAGAGGGGGGUAGAAUUUCAGGUGUAGCGGUGAAAUGCGUAGAGAUCUGAAGGAAUACCGGUGGCGAAGGCGGCCCCCUGGACAGAUACUGACACUCAGAUGCGAAAGCGUGGGGAGCAAACAGGAUUAGAUACCCUGGUAGUCCACGCUGUAAACGAUGUCUACUUGGAGGUUGUGGCCUUGAGCCGUGGCUUUCGGAGCUAACGCGUUAAGUAGACCGCCUGGGGAGUACGGUCGCAAGAUUAAAACUCAAAUGAAUUGACGGGGGCCCGCACAAGCGGUGGAGCAUGUGGUUUAAUUCGAUGCAACGCGAAGAACCUUAC
rnacentral:rRNA from 1 species